AUUGAACGCUGGCGGAAUGCUUUACACAUGCAAGUCGAACGGUAGAGGGGGCAACCCCUCGAGAGUGGCGAACGGGUGAGUAAUAUAUCGGAACGUGCCCAGUCGUGGGGGAUAACGUAGCGAAAGUUACGCUAAUACCGCAUACGAUCUAAGGAUGAAAGCGGGGGAUCGCAAGACCUCGCGCGAUUGGAGCGGCCGAUAUCAGAUUAUGUAGUUGGUGGGGUAAAGGCUCACCAAGCCAACGAUCUGUAGCUGGUCUGAGAGGACGACCAGCCACACUGGAAGUGAGACACGGUCCGGACUCCUACGGGAGUCAGCAGUGGGGAAUUUUGGACAAUGGACGCAAGUCUGAUCCAGCCCUUCCGCGUGCAGGAUGAAGGCCCUCGGGUUGUAAACUGCUUUUGUACGGAGCGAAAAGGUCUCUCUUAAUACGGGGGACUCAUGACGGUACCGUAAGAAUAAGCACCGGCUAACUACGUGCCAGCAGCCGCGGUAA
rnacentral:rRNA from 1 species